UACGUAGGGUGCGAGCGUUAAUCGGAAUUACUGGGCGUAAAGCGUGCGUAGGUGGUUCGUUGUGUCUGUGGUGAAAGCCCCGGGCUUAACCUGGGAAUGGCCAUGGAAACUGGCGAGCUGGAGUCUGGCAGAGGGGGGUGGAAUUCCACGUGUAGCAGUGAAAUGCGUAGAGAUGUGGAGGAACACCGAUGACGAAGGCAGCCCCCUGGGUCAACACUGACGCUCAUGCACGAAAGCGUGGAGAGCAAACAGG
rnacentral:rRNA from 1 species